rnacentral:rRNA from 1 species
GUCUUAUUGAUUAUAAUUUUAAGUCUAAUCUGCCCAGUGAUUUAUUAAAUGGCUGCAGUAUUUUAACUGUACAAAGGUAGCAUAAUAAUUAGUUUCUUAAUUAGAAACUGGAAUGAAAGAUUGAACGAGACAAUAACUGUCUUAAUUUUAAUUUAAGAAUUUUAUUUUUAAGUUAAAAAGCUUAAAUUUUUUUAAAAGACGAGAAGACCCUAUAGAAUUUUAUAUUAUUAUUAUAUUUAAAUUUUAGUAUAUGAAUUUUAGAUUUUUUUGAAAGUAUUUAGUUGGGGUGAUUGAAAAAUUUAUUUAACUUUUUUUAUUAUAAAUCAUUUAUUUAUGUUUUUUUGAUCCAAAAUUUUUGAUUAUAAGAUUAAAUUACCUUAGGGAUAACAGCGUAAUUUUUUUAGAGAGUUCUUAUCGAUAAAAGAGAUUGCGACCUCGAUGUUGGAUUAAAGUUAAUUUUUAAUGUAGAAGUUAGAAUAUUAGGUCUGUUCGACCUUUAAAACUUUACAUGAUCUGAGUUUAAAUCGGCGUGAGCCAGGUUGGAUUCUAUCUUUAAUAAGUUUUAAUAUUUUAGUACGAAAGGACCAAAUAUAAUUUAUAGUAAAUUAUAUAGAAUAAUAUUAUUAUUUUGGCAGAUUAGUGCUUUAAAUUUAGAAUUUAAAUAUGUAAUAUUUUUACAAAUAAUAGUGUUUAUAUUGGAUAUUUUAUUGUUUUUUAUUAGAUCUUUAUCUAUAAUUAUUUGUGUUUUAGUGGGAGUGGCUUUUUUAACGUUAUUAGA